GGCUCGUUAGCUCAGUUGGUAAGAGCAUCACACUCAAUUCGUGAAGGUCGUGGGUUCGAAUCCCACAUGAGCCC
rnacentral:tRNA from 1 species